ACUGGGCACUUUCUCCUGCUCCCCAGUGGACCCGAGGCACGAAAGCCUCAGCAAGCAGGGAGUGACAGGCACAGACCACAGCAACCACCCGCAGCCGCAGCAGAGUUCGCGCUCUCCCAGGGGCCCUCCUUGGUGGCUUUGGGGGGGCCUCAAUGCCAGGGUUUGCAUCUUUUCUUUUCUUUUUCUUUUUUUUUUUUUUUUUGAGACGGAGUCUCGCUCUGUCGCCCAGGCUGGAGUGCAGUGGUGCGAUCUCAGCUCACUGCAAGCUCCGCCUCCCGGGUUCACACCAUUCUCCUGCCUCCGCCUCUCGAGUAGCUGGGACUACAGGAGCCCACCACCACGCCCGGCUACUUUUUUUGUAUUUUUAGUAGAGACAGGGUUUCACCGUGUUAGCCAGGAUGGUCUCGAUCUCCUGACCUUGUGAUCCACCCGCCUCGGCCUCCCAAAGUGCUGGGAUUACAGGCAUGAGCCACCGUGCCCGGCCGCAUCUUUUCUUUUUCUCCUUUUUCCCAACUACUGCUGUGCUUUCUGGCUUUGUGCCUUCCUUCUUUGCCUCCUCUCCCAUCACUCCACAGACAAGGAGGCUCUGUCCAAGCUCCUGUCCUGGCUCGCUCAGCCCAGCCUUCGGGUUCUCAGCCCAACACGAGGGUCUCCUUGGGUAGUCAGCUCAAUCAUUUCAAGCUAUUAAUCAACGGAUUUCUCCUGAAUGCACCCAGACCUCUCCUCAAGGCUCUUGCUCUGUCUCCCAGGCUGAAGUGCAGUGGAGCGAUCACGAUCACGGUUCGCUGCAGCUUCAAACUCCUGAGCUCAAGCAAUCCUCCCUGCUCAGCCUCCCGAGUAGCUGGGACUACUGGCACAUGCCACCACCCCUGGCUGAAAAUCACUCAUUUUUAAUGAGAAAAUGAAGCGGGAAAGGAAGCUACUCACAACAGCAACAAGAUCCAUACUAUAACCAAGAAUGAAAUCAGAAUAUAGAGUUUUUGUGAUUAGAACGGGCAAAUAAAAGAACAAAGC